CCGUGUACGUACAAGCAGUGGGAGCACCCUUUGGGUGUGACUGCGUACCUUUUGUAUAAUGGGUCAGCGACUUAUAUUCUGUAGCAAGGUUAACCGAAUAGGGGAGCCGGAGGGAAACCGAGUCUUAACCGGGCGUUAAGUUGCAGGGUAUAGACCCGAAACCCGGUGAUCUAGCCAUGGGCAGGUUGAAGGUUGGGUAACACUAACUGGAGGACCGAACCGACUAAUGUUGAAAAAUUAGCGGAUGACCUGUGGCUGGGGGUGAAAGGCCAAUCAAACCGGGAGAUAGCUGGUUCUCCCCGAAAGCUAUUUAGGUAGCGCCUCGUGAAUUCAUCUCCGGGGGUAGAGCACUGUUUCGGCUAGGGGGCCAUCCCGGCUUACCAACCCGAUGCAAACUGCGAAUACCGGAGAAUGUUAUCACGGGAGACACACGGCGGGUGCUAACGUCCGUCGUGAAGAGGGAAACAACCCAGACCGCCAGCUAAGGUCCCAAAGUCAUGGUUAAGUGGGAAACGAUGUGGGAAGGCCCAGACAGCCAGGAUGUUGGCUUAGAAGCAGCCAUCAUUUAAAGAAAGCGUAAUAGCUCACUGGUCGAGUCGGCCUGCGCGGAAGAUGUAACGGGGCUAAACCAUGCACCGAAGCUGCGGCAGCGACACUGUGUGUUGUUGGGUAGGGGAGCGUUCUGUAAGCCUGUGAAGGUGUGUCGUGAGGCAUGCUGGAGGUAUCAGAAGUGCGAAUGCUGACAUAAGUAACGAUAAAGCGGGUGAAAAGCCCGCUCGCCGGAAGACCAAGGGUUCCUGUCCAACGUUAAUCGGGGCAGGGUGAGUCGACCCCUAAGGCGAGGCCGAAAGGCGUAGUCGAUGGGAAACGGGUUAAUAUUCCCGUACUUGGUGUUACUGCGAAGGGGGGACGGAGAAGGCUAUGUUGGCCGGGCGACGGUUGUCCCGGUUUAAGCGUGUAGGUGUGUGUUCCAGGUAAAUCCGGUUCACUUUAACACUGAGGCGUGACGACGAGGCACUACGGUGCUGAAGCAACAAAUGCCCUGCUUCCAGGAAAA
rnacentral:rRNA from 1 species